rnacentral:rRNA from 1 species
GAUGAACGCUAGCGACAGGCUUAACACAUGCAAGUCGAGGGGCAGCACAGGUAGCAAUACCGGGUGUCGACCGGCGCACGGGUGAGUAACGCGUAUGCAACUUACCUAUCAGAGGGGGAUAACCCCGCGAAAGUCGGACUAAUACCGCAUGAAGCAGGGGUCCCGCUUGGGGGGAUUUGAUAAAGAUUCAUCGCUGAUAGAUAGGCAUGCGUUCCAUUGGGCCGUUGGCGGGGUUACGGCACACCAAACCGACGAUGGAUAGGGGUUUGGAGAGUAAGGUGCCUGACAUGGUUACUGAGCAACUGGCCAAUGACAUACGGCAGGCAGCCGUACGGGAGAUAGGUGUAUGGACUAGUGCCUGAUCCACCGAAGCCGCGUGAAGGAAGACGGUUCGCGGGAUCGUGACCUUCUGGUAGAAGGGAACAAAGUGCUGGGACGGUCCCGGAGUGAAGGUACCGGAUAAAUAAGGACCGGCUAACUCCGUG